rnacentral:rRNA from 1 species
CCUAGGGAGGCAGCAGUGGGGAAUAUUGGACAAUGGGCGAAAGCCUGAUCCAGCAAUGCCGCGUGAGUGAUGAAGGCCUUCGGGUCGUAAAGCUCUUUUACCAGGGAUGAUAAUGACAGUACCUGGAGAAUAAGCUCCGGCUAACUCCGUGCCAGCAGCCGCGGUAAUACGGAGGGAGCUAGCGUUGUUCGGAAUUACUGGGCGUAAAGAGUACGUAGGCGGUUAUUCAAGUCAGAGGUGAAAGCCCGGGGCUCAACCCCGGAACUGCCUUUGAAACUAGAUAACUAGAGUCUUGGAGAGGUUAGUGGAAUUCCGAGUGUAGAGGUGAAAUUCGUAGAUAUUCGGAAGAACACCAGUGGCGAAGGCGACUAACUGGACAAGUACUGACGCUGAGGUACGAAAGCGUGGGGAGCAAACAGGAUUAGAUACCCUGGUAGUCCACGCCGUAAACGAUGAUAACUAGUUGUUCGGUCACUUGGUGACUGAGUGACGCAGCUAACGCAUUAAGUUAUCCGCCUGGGGAGUACGGUCGCAAGAUUAAAACUCAAAGGAAUUGACGG